CCUACGGGUGGCAGCAGUGGGGAAUAUUGGACAAUGGGGGCAACCCUGAUCCAGCCAUGCCGCGUGUGUGAAGAAGGCCCUCGGGUUGUAAAGCACUUUCAGUGAGGAAGAACGCCUGGUGGUUAAUACCCAUCAGGAAAGACAUCACUCACAGAAGAAGCACCGGCUAACUCCGUGCCAGCAGCCGCGGUAAUACGGAGGGUGCGAGCGUUAAUCGGAAUUACUGGGCGUAAAGCGCGCGUAGGUGGCUCGAUAAGCCGGUUGUGAAAGCCCCGGGCUCAACCUGGGAACGGCAUCCGGAACUGUCAAGCUAGAGUGCAGGAGAGGAAGGUAGAAUUCCCGGUGUAGCGGUGAAAUGCGUAGAGAUCGGGAGGAAUACCAGUGGCGAAGGCGGCCUUCUGGACUGACACUGACACUGAGGUGCGAAAGCGUGGGUAGCAAACAGGAUUAGAUACCCCAGUAGUC
rnacentral:rRNA from 1 species